rnacentral:rRNA from 1 species
AAGGUGGAUUUGUAAGUAAUUAUUUUUUAUAAGAUUAUUAAAUGAAGGGUGGAAUAACAUGUGUACAUAUUGCCCGUCGCUCUCGUUAUUUUUGAGAUAAGUCGUAACAUAGUUGAUGAACUGGAAAGUGUAUCUUUUUGACAUAUUAAAGUUUAUUUUUGAAUUUUUCCUUUACACUGAAAAGGUCUCUUUUGAGUAAUAUGAUGAUUAUUUUUUGGGGUUUUAUUUUAAUAAUUAGAAAAUUUAUUAUAAGUAGUUUGAGCGAAGUUAGAGGGUUAUUCUUAUAGAGUAUAAAGUACUGAGAAGGAAUGUUUUUUAUUUUUUUAGAAUAUUAGGUUGAUUAUUACCUUUUGUAUUAGGGUUGAUUUAUGUGUUUUUUCGUUUGUUAUUUCUCGAUGAACAUCGGGCUAUUUUUCUUUUAUAAUUCUCGUUGUAUAGAGUUGAAUAGGGGUCAAUAGGUAUGAAAUAUUAUUCAAGUUGUUUUUUAUCUGGUUCUUUAAGAAAUUUAAUAGUUAAUAUGAUUAUUAUGGCGAUAAAUAGGGAUUAGCUUAUUUAUUUUUUAUAUUUAAUUGUUAAAUUUUAUUUAUUUGUUAAGUUGAUAGUGCUAUAUUUUAAUGGAGUUAUUAUUGGGUAAGUUUAUUAUAUUAUUUUUUGGUUUUGUUUAGAUAUUGGGGUUUUAUUGUGAAUUUAUGAUGAUUUGUAAUAAUGAUUAUAUUAGUAAUAUUUUUGUUGAAAAUUGCAUUUUGGUGUUUUCUAGGGAAAGAGUAAAUUAGAGGUGUGAUUGUAAUUAGAAUUGAUUAAUUCGGCAAAAUUGAUUUCUGACUGUUUAGCAAAGACAUUGUUUUUUGUUUUGAAUAAAAAAUAAGUUCUGUCCACUGCUAUUAGGUGAAGGGCUGCAGUAUUUUGACUGUAUGAAGGUAGCAUAAUCAUUAGCUUUUUAAUUAGAAGCUGGUAUGAAGGUGAAACAGGGAUUUGCUGUGUUUUUUCUAUUUUUGAAUUUUAUUUUUAUGUGAAAAAUCGUUAUUGGGUUAAUGGGACAAGAAGACCCUAAUAAGUUUUAUUUUCUUUUUUAAUGCGUGUAUAGGUUUAUGUAUUUGUGCAAUUUAUUUUAGGGGGUUUGGCUGGGGCGGCAUUUUAUUAAACAUAGAUUAAUUUUUAACCUUUUUGUGGCGGAAAUUUGGACCUAGAUUGUUUAGAUAAGAGUUAAACUACUGUAGGGAUAACAGCGUGAUUUUUUUUGAGAGUUCUAAUUGACA